GCGGGCGUAGUUUAAUGGUAGAACAUGAGCUUCCCAAGCUUAGAACGCGAGUUCGAUUCUCGUCGCCCGCUCCA
rnacentral:tRNA from 1 species